CUGGAAGGGCGGAGCCAAGCAAUCUACAAAGCCAGCCAGCUCACCUGUGGCCAAUCCUAUUCCCUGGAAAAGAAGCUUGCCUCAUGUGGACUCCUCACACUCCAUUGUUUGUCUGCGUGAAAGAUCUCAGAGGCCAGAAGUCUGGGCCGCCAUGCCAGUCCUAAUAAAUCCUGGGCUGAGAGUGGCGGCGGCAGCAGCAGGGCUGCAUUCUUCAGCAGCCAGCACUUCCCCUAAUCUGCCCCGGAGAUGGAGCAACAGUUGGCCUGGCUGGUGGGGAAGGGAGAGGAGAAGAGGGGGGGGAAGGAGGAGGAUGGUGGGGGCUCCCUGGUGACACAAGCAUGAUGUGUUUGUAAAAACACAGGGAAUGUUGGAAUUGGAUACACUAACACUCCAGCCCUCCCUUAAGCGGGCUUGUGUAGAGACUGAUUUUGACAGAUAUGUUCAUUUUCUCAGCGACAAACACAAAACAUUACCUUACCUGCCACACUUGGUUUUUUCUUGCUUUCAUCCCUCUGGUGUGUGCUUGUGUAGGAGAAAGCAAAACCAAGAAAACAGAGGAAGAAACUAAGAGGCACAUGACUAGGAAAUGUAUUACAGAUGUGUGCAGCUAUGUAGCCACUUGUGGAAGCCAAAACAUUUUUUGUUGCCGCUAAGAAGAACAUAAUUCCAUGUCAUAAAGGGUUGAAAAGUUUGAUAUGCAACAUAGAACAGUUAAAAUGUGUUUUUGAGUGCAUGCCAUUAGCUGACUGCAUAGGUGAUUAGCAGACUGAUUGUGCGACAUACUCUGGUCAAUAGGCAACGUUUUAUCCCGUUAUACAGCUGACACAGCCUGUGCGUUCUUUAGAGGAGAUCAGACCCCCAGGAAUGAAUUCCUCUCUGCUGGUCUCUAGUUUCAAUUGAUUGCUUUAAUUUGGCCUAUAAUGAGUAGGAUGCCUCCUGCCUGCAAUUAGUAUUUGUGUGUGUGACUGUGUGUACUUGUGGGCUGUGUUUAAUUACUGCAGUGGAUGGAUGCUGUGGCCCAGAAGGAGCCUGCAGAAUGGGAGGUUCUACUGACACCUCUACCCACUGUGUGAUGAUUCCAAAUUUCUAAUAAAGAUCCUGUAUCUGUUAAUGUGAUUAUGUGCUCAAUUUUGAGUGCAAGUGAUAAAACAGGAGGGAAUUUAUAGACACCAACAAUGAUACAUUUGUAAAAACCUACAUCCAGAUGGUCGGCUACCAAAGGAGCCCAUGUCCUCAGCAUUAUGAAAACAAAAUUCCCCACCCAUACAACCUCCGUCUGUGUUUCAUUUGUCUCCGUAUCCCUCUGUUUUUAUUUAAUAAAAUCAUGUUUGCUCAUCAG